rnacentral:rRNA from 1 species
UACGAAGGGGGGCUAGCGUUGCUCGGAAUCACUGGGCGUAAAGCGCACGUAGGCGGAUUGUUAAGUCAGGGGUGAAAUCCUGGAGCUCAACUCCAGAACUGCCUUUGAUACUGGCGAUCUCGAGUCCGGGAGAGGUGAGUGGAACUGCGAGUGUAGAGGUGAAAUUCGUAGAUAUUCGCAAGAACACCAGUGGCGAAGGCGGCUCACUGGCCCGGUACUGACGCUGAGGUGCGAAAGCGUGGGGAGCAA